rnacentral:lncRNA from 1 species
UAAGUAAUCCCAAGUACUUGAUUGGUAGGCUGUCUGUGCUGCAUCCUAAUCUGCAGGCUAGUUCUCGCAGUCGUUCGUCAUUGACCACAAUACCAAUAAGCUCAAUUUGAUCAAGAUUGUCCUCUGCAAAUUACAAAUACGAGUUAAUUGGCCCUGUUCUGAACAUGGAGAAACCUUCCAGCAGUCCAUUCUAGUAUAGUCCUUCAAUUGAUCUACUAAAAAUGUCUACAACUACAGCAAAGAGGAAGGCUGAAAAGAUCUCUAAAUGGAAGGAAGAAUCCUAAUGAAGCACCAUUUACAAGAACAAAAACGUGCAGAAGAGAUGCAUUCUGCUACCCAAGUCCUACAUUUGUUUCGAAAAGCCACCUUCUCCAUAACUUCAAGAAGCAUGUCCAAGUCAAAAUGAGAUACACAGAGACAAAUUAUUUUGAAAUAACCUUGUUGAUGCCAACAACAAAAAGAUGCUGGCACCCAUGGCUAUGUCACUGUUGAUUUGAAUGAAGCCUGAGCACAAAAGGUUGUAGCACCCUGUGGCUUGCAAGGCAUCACUCUGUUAUCAAAUUACAGACCACCAGUAUUAGAGACUGAUUGAUUUGAAGCCCACGCACCUAAUAAUGAGAGAUAGAGAGAGAGAGACUCACAGUCCAGUAAGUGAAGAGCUUGGUGUUGUCCCCAUACAGAUAUGGGCUUACCUGUUUCCCAUGGGAAUAUACACGGAGUAUUAUUAUUAGGGAUUGUAUAUAAUGAGACCAUUUACCUUUGGAGAAGUGAUAUGAUACAAAGGUUGUAUUAUACUAUGAUGAAAUGGUGAGUUGGCCUAAUUUUAG